AUACUCUGGUUUCUCUUCAGAUCGUAUAAAUCUUUCACCUCUUAUGAAAGAUUUCCAUAGAGAGGAACAAUUCUGAGUCUUAACCCAACUUUUUGAGGCCUUGCAUUUGCAGGGCU
ensembl:snRNA U5 U5 spliceosomal RNA